rnacentral:misc_RNA from 1 species
AAAAUGUCUGAACUAACAUGUUUUUUGUGUGACACACAAACCACAAAAGUGUGUGAAGAUUGUAUUCAACCAGUUUGUUCUUCAAAUCAUAUGAAGAUUCAUCGUUCCAAUUCUCGAUGUUCUCCUUUCAGGGUUGAAUCAGGAGAGAAUGGAAGAUUUUUAGUCGCUACACGUGAUAUUCAGCCUUUAGAAAUCAUUCUUCAUGAUGAAUGUUUUGGAUUUGUCCCGAAGCUAGAACACCCUCCAGUCUGCUUAGUUUGCUGGAAUCUAACAAAAGAGACAUGUGGUAAAUGUGGCCUACCGCUGUGCAAAAAAUGUGUUCCAAAAGCCCAUGAAGUGGAAUGUGAGAUUAUAAAGAAAAGCGGAAUUGUGACAGCUGAUGAAAUAUUAGAAAACCCCUGUAUACUACCAAGUGUUGCUGUUUUCAGAUUCUUAAACAAUAACAAACACAAGGAGUUCUAUGAUCGUCUGGUGGAUAAUCUUUCCUGGAUUCAGACAACAGAGGAAUUCAAAAUAUUCAACCUGAUCUCAAAGUUUAUCAGAGAAAGAUGUGAUCUCAAAGAAUAUUCGGAGGAACUAAUUUGGAAAAUAUUAGGAAAAUACAAAUCUAAUGGCUGCAGUGUAGCAAACUACAGAGCAAGGGCCAUUUUCCCCAUAUUCUCUAUGCUGAACCAUUCUUGCAUUUCAAACGCAAGGCAUAUAGUGAAUUCAGAAGAUCAAAGUAUAGAAGUUGUAUCAAAAACAUUUAUCCCCAGGGGUGAUGAGAUAAAUAUUCGGUAUACAACAACAUUUUUAGAAACCAUCACCACGAGGAAAAACAUUAUCAGUGACACUUGGAAUUUUGACUGCAGAUGUUUGCUCUGCAAUGAAUCAACGGAAAACAAAACUUAUCUCAGCGCUGUUUCUUGCCAGAACUGCAAACUCAGCCAUCUGCUGCCAUGUCAAGGAGAGGAAUCUCAAGAUUUGGUUUGGAAAUCUCAGGGUUUGGUUUGGAAAUGUGGAAACUGUAAGAAAGAAAUCAAGGAAGCAGACAUAGAGUCCAUUCAAAACAAGGUUUCUAUAGCAUUCAGUAAAGUUCCUAAAACUGAUCUAACUAAGCUAGUAUCCUUUGCUUCUCUCUGCAAAACUAUUCUUCACCCUAAACACGCUUUGACUCUUAAAGUUCAUCAGUGUAUUCUUCAUCAGAAAAUAGAAAACAUACAACUGACAAAUAUGAAGAAGGAGGAUUUAAGAUCCAUUUUGAAUCUAAGUGAUGAGUAUAUUUCUGUUGUUGAAGUAGUUGAUCCAGGAUUUUCAAAAUGGAAGAGCAGAAUUGAGUAUCAAACUGUUAGAAUUGAACUGAUGGCACUUUUGCAGAAUGUGAAUGUCCGAAAUGAGAACCCUGUUUCAAUAAUCUCUAGAUGUGUUAGUAAAUUAGAAGAAGCUUUGGCUGGAAUGACGGGAGAGUUGAGCUGUUUGAGUUUACAGAGUUCAAGUUUACUUUCCAGGAUUGAAGGAUUAAUAAAUCAUCCAAACCUAGAACAAGGAUACUCAGCUCUUCUUAGAAUACUCUGCAAGCAUCCUGCACUACAUUAAUUUAUUAGAAUACUCUGCAAGUAUCCUGCUUUACAUUAAUCUACUAUAGAAUACUUUAUUAUGUCUGCGAUGGCUAUUGUUGGACCCCAUACUACUGUGUUUAGAGGAUAACGUUGAAAUCAAUUCAUCCUGAG